rnacentral:rRNA from 1 species
GAUGAACGCUGGCGGCGUGCUUAACACAUGCAAGUCGAACGAAGCACCUUGAUUUGAUUCUUCGGAUGAAGAUCUUGGUGACUGAGUGGCGGACGGGUGAGUAACGCGUGGGUAACCUGCCUCAUACAGGGGGAUAACAGUUAGAAAUGACUGCUAAUACCGCAUAACGUCGCAAGACCAAAGUGGGGGACCUUCGGGCCUCAUGCCAUCAGAUGUGCCCAGAUGGGAUUAGCUAGUAGGUGGGGUAACGGCUCACCUAGGCGACGAUCCCUAGCUGGUCUGAGAGGAUGACCAGCCACACUGGAACUGAGACACGGUCCAG